GUGCUCACUUUGGCAGCACAUACACUAAAAUUGGAACAAUAUAGAGAAGAUUAGCAUGGCCCUUUCUCAAAGAUGACACGUGAAUUCAUGAAGCCUUCCAUAUUUUU
ensembl:snRNA U6 U6 spliceosomal RNA